rnacentral:rRNA from 1 species
GGGUGCGUAACGCGUAUGCAACCUACCUUUUAUUGGGGGAUAGCCCGAAGAAAUUCGGAUUAAUACCGCAUAAUAUCAUUUGAGGGCAUCUGAGGAUGAUUAAAGCUACGGCGAUAAAAGAUGGGCAUGCGUGUCAUUAGCUAGUUGGUUGAGGUAACGGCUCACCAAGGCGACGAUGACUAGGGGUUCUGAGAGGAUGAUCCCCCACACUGGUACUGAGAUACGGACCAGACUCCUACGGGAGGCAGCAGUAGGGAAUAUUGGGCAAUGGCCGAAAGGCUGACCCAGCCAUGCCGCGUGAAGGAUGAAGGCCUUCUGGGUUGUAAACUUCUUUUAUCUAGGAAGAAAAUACUCUUGCGAGAGGAACUGACGGUACUAGAUGAAUAAGCACCGGCUAACUCCGUGCCAGCAGCCGCGGUAAUACGGAGGGUGCAAGCGUUGUCCGGAUUUAUUGGGUUUAAAGGGUGCGUAGGCGGCGUAAUAAGUCCGUGGUGAAAGCCAACAGCUCAACUGUUGAACUGCCAUGGAUACUGUUAGGCUUGAGUACAGACGAGGUAGGCGGAAUGGAUCGUGUAGCGGUGAAAUGCAUAGAUACUAUCCAGAACACCGAUUGCGUAGGCAGCUUACUAGGCUGUAACUGACGCUGAGGCACGAAAGCGUGGGGAGCGAACAGGAUUAGAUACCCUGGUAGUCCACGCUGUAAACGAUGAUUACUCGAUGUUGGCGAUACACAGUCAGCGUCUUAGCGAAAGCGUUAAGUAAUCCACCUGGGGAGUACGCCCGCAAGGGUGAAACUCAAAGGAAUUGACGGGGGCCCGCACAAGCGGUGGAGCAUGUGGUUUAAUUCGAAGCAACGCGCAGAACCUUACCAACCUUUGACAUGUCCCGUAUGGGUCCUGGAGACAGGAUCCUUCAGUUCGGCUGGCGGGAACACAGGUGCUGCAUGGCUGUCGUCAGCUCGUGUCGUGAGAUGUUGGGUUAAGUCCCGCAACGAGCGCAACCCUCGCCCCUAGUUGCCAUCAUUUGGUUGGGCACUCUAGGGGGACUGCCGGUGAUAAGCCGCGAGGAAGGUGGGGAUGACGUCAAGUCCUCAUGGCCCUUACAGGUUGGGCUACACACGUGCUACAAUGGCGGUGACAAUGGGCAGCGAACCCGCGAGGGGGAGCUAAUCCCAAAAAGCCGUCUCAGUUCAGAUUGCACUCUGCAACUCGAGUGCAUGAAGGCGGAAUCGCUAGUAAUCGCGUAUCAGCAAUGACGCGGUGAAU